rfam:Asian citrus Psyllid, Diaphorina citri - Florida Strain, whole genome shotgun sequence.
GCCUAGUUAGCUUAGUUGGUGGAGCGUCUGCCUUGUAAGCGCUAGGCCGCAGGUUCGAUUCCCGCCCGGGGCG